GCAGCUUUUAUUUUGGUACUUGGUUUAAUGAGGUUUUUUGGAACAGCGGGGCAGGGGCAGCAUCCAUUCUUGCUGCUCAUCACAUAUUCAUUAUUUACAUUGCCGGUAUCCCCAGUAACUCGGCCCAGAAAACAAAUAAACAAAAGCUGAAGCGUACACAAAACAUCUGGAGGUGCUGCCGUUGCUCCCGAUUGCUCGCAAGGCACAAGGGCACGGCGAUGGAUAGGGCUCAUGUGCCUGCUGAGCCAAAUGGGGGGGGGUUGCCAGGGUGAGGACCCCAUCCAUGGUACCCCAUAGGGCUGGAGGUGCCCCUCUCUUGCUCAUAAAUGAGCCUCAUCAUUUGGAAAAAAAAAUAAUUAAAUAUAAUGACAUCAUUUCUAAUGGAUACGUGGAGUUUAAUUAAUCAUUUAUUUACUUUUCGUACAUUUGUUUUUGGCAUCUGAGGGGCACGUGGGGGGAGAUGCUGAGCGAAAGGCUUCGCCACCAGGCUGGGAGGAAUCAGAAGAAGCCCCCAGCCUCCUCCAGCCCCAGCCGGAUGGGUUCGAUCACCCCUUGACGCUGAGCCAAGAGGCGAUGCAGGGAGGUUUCUGGUCGGAGCGGGGAGGCAGCAGCCUUGGGAGCUCUUGGCCCCUGAUAGUAAAUACAGCUGGUCACAUUAGAGCUCUUGAAUAAUUUAUGGGAUGACUCUUCAAAAUAGUAAAUCCUCCCUCUCCCUUCCCCUCGAGCCUGCUCCAUCCUUCAUCAGAUGGUGUGGCUGGUGAGCAGUCUAUGAAUAUUUAAGGAGUUUUACUAAAUUCAUAGAACCUUGUAAAAAACGGUUUAAAAAUGUCGAGCGAAAUAUUUGCAUGUCGCGUUUCGCACCAGCUGCGCAGCUACAGGGGCAGGACAGGGGAGCCAAGUGAGCUGCGAGGGACCAGGGAGGCAGAAAUGAGAGGGAGACCCCAGCAGUGCCUGCAUCUCGGGAAGUAAAUGCUGUAUUUUAAAGAUUUUUUUGUGGUGAGCACAGAAAAUGCUGCCUUUGGGUUGGUCCUCCCCUGACUGCCUGCAAGCAGGGGCAGUCGAUGUGCUUGUGGGGAGAGGGUU
rnacentral:lncRNA from 1 species